AUACAUGCAGUCGACGAACUCUGGUAUUGAUUGGUGCUUGCAUCAUGAUUUACAUUUGAGUGAGUGGCGAACUGGUGAGUAACACGUGGGAAACCUGCCCAGAAGCGGGGGAUAACACCUGGAAACAGAUGCUAAUACCGCAUAACAACUUGGACCGCAUGGUCCGAGCUUGAAAGAUGGCUUCGGCUAUCACUUUUGGAUGGUCCCGCGGCGUAUUAGCUAGAUGGUGGGGUAACGGCUCACCAUGGCAAUGAUACGUAGCCGACCUGAGAGGGUAAUCGGCCACAUUGGGACUGAGACACGGCCCAAACUCCUACGGGAGGCAGCAGUAGGGAAUCUUCCACAAUGGACGAAAGUCUGAUGGAGCAACGCCGCGUGAGUGAAGAAGGGUUUCGGCUCGUAAAACUCUGUUGUUAAAGAAGAACAUAUCUGAGAGUAACUGUUCAGGUAUUGACGGUAUUUAACCAGAAAGCCACGGCUAACUACGUGCCAGCAGCCGCGGUAAUACGUAGGUGGCAAGCGUUGUCCGGAUUUAUUGGGCGUAAAGCGAGCGCAGGCGGUUUUUUAAGUCUGAUGUGAAAGCCUUCGGCUCAACCGAAGAAGUGCAUCGGAAACUGGGAAACUUGAGUGCAGAAGAGGACAGUGGAACUCCAUGUGUAGCGGUGAAAUGCGUAGAUAUAUGGAAGAACACCAGUGGCGAAGGCGGCUGUCUGGUCUGUAACUGACGCUGAGGCUCGAAAGUAUGGGUAGCAAACAGGAUUAGAUACCCUGGUAGUCCAUACCGUAAACGAUGAAUGCUAAGUGUUGGAGGGUUUCCGCCCUUCAGUGCUGCAGCUAACGCAUUAAGCAUUCCGCCUGGGGAGUACGGCCGCAAGGCUGAAACUCAAAGGAAUUGACGGGGGCCCGCACAAGCGGUGGAGCAUGUGGUUUAAUUCGAAGCUACGCGAAGAACCUUACCAGGUCUUGACAUACUAUGCAAAUCUAAGAGAUUAGACGUUCCCUUCGGGGACAUGGAUACAGGUGGUGCAUGGUUGUCGUCAGCUCGUGUCGUGAGAUGUUGGGUUAAGUCCCGCAACGAGCGCAACCCUUAUUAUCAGUUGCCAGCAUUAAGUUGGGCACUCUGGUGAGACUGCCGGUGACAAACCGGAGGAAGGUGGGGAUGACGUCAAAUCAUCAUGCCCCUUAUGACCUGGGCUACACACGUGCUACAAUGGAUGGUACAACGAGUUGCGAACUCGCGAGAGUAAGCUAAUCUCUUAAAGCCAUUCUCAGUUCGGAUUGUAGGCUGCAACUCGCCUACAUGAAGUCGGAAUCGCUAGUAAUCGCGGAUCAGCAUGCCGCGGUGAAUACGUUCCCGGGCCUUGUACACACCGCCCGUCACACCAUGAGAGUUUGUAACACCCAAAGUCGGUGGGGUAACCUUUUAGGAACCAGCCG
rnacentral:rRNA from 1 species